rnacentral:rRNA from 1 species
GUCGAACGAGAGAAGAGAAGCUUGCUUUUCUGAUCUAGUGGCGGACGGCUGUGUAACACGUGAGCAAUCUGCCUUUCAGAGGGGGAUACCGAUUGGAAACGAUCGUUAAUACCGCAUAACAUAAUUGAACCGCAUGAUUUGAUUAUCAAAGAUUUAUCGCUGAAAGAUGAGCUCGCGUCUGAUUAGCUAGUUGGUAAGGUAACGGCUUACCAAGGCGACGAUCAGUAGCCGGACUGAGAGGUUGAUCGGCCACAUUGGGACUGAGACACGGCCCAGACUCCUACGGGAGGCAGCAGUGGGGAAUAUUGCACAAUGGAGGAAACUCUGAUGCAGCGAUGCCGCGUGAGGGAAGAAGGUUUUAGGAUUGUAAACCUCUGUCUUCAGGGACGAAAAAAGACGGUACCUGAGGAGGAAGCUCCGGCUAACUACGUGCCAGCAGCCGCGGUAAUACGUAGGGAGCGAGCGUUGUCCGGAAUUACUGGGUGUAAAGGGAGCGUAGGCGGGAUCGCAAGUCAGAUGUGAAAACUAUGGGCUUAACCCAUAAACUGCAUUUGAAACUGUGGUUCUUGAGUGAAGUAGAGGUAAGCGGAAUUCCUAGUGUAGCGGUGAAAUGCGUAGAUAUUAGGAGGAACAUCAGUGGCGAAGGCGGCUUACUGGGCUUUAACUGACGCUGAGGCUCGAAAGCGUGGGGAGCAAACAGGAUUAGAUACCCUGGUAGU